rnacentral:precursor_RNA from 11 species
UCUCAUCCACGUGGUAAAGGAUUAUCCACUACUUUAAUAUGAAAGUACUUGUUUUUGUUCCUUUUAAAAAGUGCUUUCAUAUUUUAGUGAUGGCACAUCCUAUUUUAAUCAACUAUGCAA